AUUUCUUUCAAACAAAUUAAUACAAAUUAUCACCACAAAAAUGAACAAAGUUAUGUUGCAUUUUUUGUAUUAUUUCAAAAAGAUUGGAUAAAUGGACAAUUCUAUCAUUAGCAACGUUCUUCUAGCACCAGUGUUUUCCAAAAGUUUCAACCAGAAGAAUUCUCCUGACAGUUUAAAACGUGCACUCAACACGUUUAGAACUAUUCUAUCUACUUUAUCCCUUGGAUGGCAGGUCUCGGGUCUAUUUCGACUUUGAGCCACAAGAAUAAGGUUCCGUUAUUUUGCGAUACCUAAAAUGUAUGUAUGUGAUUUUGCAAUAAAAAAUUCUCUUUUAUCUGAUACGUACCAUACAGUCGCUGAAUAUUUCCAAAUAAAUAUGAAGAACACAAUUUUUACGAAAAUAAUUGAAUUAACGAAUUCGUGGUUAAUACACUUAGAAAAAAAUAAUAGCUGUUAUAAAUGUUUGUGACGCGUAUGAGGAUCAUAUUUUAAUUAUAAGAAAAUGUCAGAGUUUCCAUGAUAACAUUUGCUGACAAAAUAUUAACAGAUAAAAAAUUAUCAGCGAUAAUAUAUAUUGACAACAAAUUGGAAAAUUUCGAAAUUUGGGAACGGUAAUAUGUAACAAUUUAUAACUAUCACGUGUUAUCAUUCUAUCCAAAAAGAAUAUUAUACUGCUGAACGGAACUUCAUCUUUGAAAGGUUCUAUUGGCAUAUAGUAAAAUAUUAGAGGGGCAAUUCACUAAAAACUUUUUAAAUGGAGGUCAACUGGCAGCAGCCAUUGUAUUAUAAUCAAUAGCUAUCGAUUAUAUGCAGCCCUACGUGAAAGAAGCCCUUCAUCAGUAAAUGGGAAAGGAAUUCACUCCACCACGUAAAUGCUAGAUUAUACACAACAAAGGCAACUGUAACAAAAAUUUAAAGCUGUAAUUAAAAACAUGUACGUUACCCACCUUA